rnacentral:miRNA from 1 species
GGAUUCCUUCCUGUUGAUGAGGUUUAGCCUCCUCAUCGACUGGAAGGAACCCCUUCCAAUCGAUGAGGAAGCUAUACCUCAUUGACAGGAAGGAAUCC